rnacentral:rRNA from 1 species
GAUGAACGCUGGCGGCGCGCCUAAUACAUGCAAGUCGAGCGAACGGACGAGAAGCUUGCUUUUCUGAUGUUAGCGGCGGACGGGUGAGUAACACGUGGAUAACCUACCUAUAAGACUGGGAUAACUUCGGGAAACCGGAGCUAAUACCGGAUAAUAUUUUGAACCGCAUGGUUCAAAAGUGAAAGACGGUCUUGCUGUCACUUAUAGAUGGAUCCGCGCUGCAUUAGCUAGUUGGUAAGGUAACGGCUUACCAAGGCAACGAUGCAUAGCCGACCUGAGAGGGUGAUCGGCCACACUGGAACUGAGACACGGUCCAGACUCCUACGGGAGGCAGCAGUAGGGAAUCUUCCGCAAUGGGCGAAAGCCUGACGUAGCAACGCCGCGUGAGUGAUGAAGGUCUUCGGAUCGUAAAACUCUGUUAUUAGGGAAGAACAUAUGUGUAAGUAACUGUGCACAUCUUGACGGUACCUAAUCAGAAAGCCACGGCUAACUACGUG